rnacentral:lncRNA from 1 species
AAUUUUCGUUAGAAUAUUCUGCGGAAAAAGAAUAGUAAAUCCAAUCCAAAUAAGUAGAAUAACAAUGAAAUAUCCAUGCAUGUAUAAAUGCGUAAAGUAAAAAUUAUGAAGGGACAGGUAAAAAACGGGGAACGAAGUAACGUCGACAAAGAUGUUGAUAUCCCAUGAUAUACGAAUGUUGUUCCGAUGCGUUGGAUAACCCUAAUUUCUAUCCGCCUUCUAAUUAAAAAUAUAUGAUAGCUCUAUGUAAUUGACUAAUGUUUAUAAGAAUAUAUAAAAAUAAAAAAAG